rnacentral:rRNA from 1 species
UAGUUCUUUCUUAAAAUAUUCUAGCAAAGCCAAGUAAAUCUAAUUUUUAAGAAUUAUUCAAUAAAGGUACAGCUUUAUUGAAAAAGGAAACAACCUAAACCUUAGGAUAAUGAAUAUUUUUAAAUAGGUAAAAGGCCAAGUUGGCCUAAAAGCAGCCAUCUUUAAAGAUAGCGUCAAAGCUUCACCUUAAACACACCUUAAAUCUCAUUAUUUUUUCAUAAUCCAACAAUUCUACUAAGCCAUUCUAUACUUUUAUAGAAAAGUUUAUGUUAGGACUAGUAACACAGAAUAAUUUCUCUUACAUGUAAGUUUAAAUCAACCCGAAUACCUCCUUGAUAAUUACUCAAAUUUGAACCUUAAGUAGUACCUAUUAAUUACAAAAACCCUACUUAACUUAUUGUUAAUCAAACAUAUGGAUAUGAAAGAAAGAUUAAAAAAUUAAGAAGGAACUCGGCAAACACAAGUCCCGCCUGUUUACCAAAAACAUCGCCUUUUGAAAAGUAUAAAAGGUAACGCCUGCCCACUGACAGUAUGUUUAACGGCCGCGGUAUUCUGACCGUGCGAAGGUAGCGUAAUCACUUGUCUUUUAAAUGAAGACUCGUAUGAAAGGCAUCACGAGAACUUAGCUGUCUCCUUAAUUCAAUCAGUGAAACUGAUACCCCUGUAAAAAAGCAGGGAUGAUUACAUAAGACGAGAAGACCCUGUGGAGCUUAAAACAUAAGCUACUUCUAUACUCUACUAACUUAUAGUACUAAAAUACAAACCUAGCCUAAGUUUUCUGUUGGGGCGGCUGUGGAGAAAAACUUAUCCUCCAUGAAGAAAAAACUUUGAUCUACCGCUCUUAGUAUUAGCAAGCCUAACUUAAAUUGAUCCAAUUUUUGAUCAACGGACCAAGUUACCCCAGGGAUAACAGCGCAAUCCAUUUCAAGAGUCCCUAUCGACAAAUGGGUUUACGACCUCGAUGUUGGAUUAGGACAUCCUAGUGGUGUAGCCGCUACUAAUGGUUCGUUUGUUCACGAUAAGUCUAC